GAAGACCCCACCCUGGGUGCAAAGCCACGCCCGGUGCUACACGGGUGGCUCCACCUCUUCCUGCAAAGGGCGCCCGGAAGGAGGAUUGGGAAGCGCCCGGGAAGGGAGAGGCCAGGCGGGCAGCUGUAGUCCGGGCAGGCCCGGAGUGGCAUCGUGCGGAGGGCGGAGCACAGCCUCCCUCAGAGGCAAAGGCUGCGUCCCUGAGCGCCUGGCACGGCCCUGUGACCUGGGAGCGCCCCGGACUGCGGGACUUUGAUCACCUUGGUUUUGUCUUCUUUUAAUGAAGCAAUUCUAGUUGUAAAAUGGUGUUAUGGUUUCAGUUCUCAAUUUUUAGCCAGGGUUUGUUUUUUCUUUAAAACCCUCUCAAGCAACGUUUUAAUGACGGCGUCUUACAGAGUUGAAAUAUAAAAGGGUUUAGCCUCGAUGCCGGCAGAUGCAAGUACCUGUGGUCGUGGAAGGGAGGCGAGCGACACCGGACCCAGGAGAAACCGCUUCUUGCUCACACUCGCGUUUCACAGAGUGCACACCGCAAGGGCGCGUGGCGAUCCAGCUGUGGAACAGCAGCAGGAUACGGAAGAGUGAGACUGGGAAUUGAACCUCGGGCGUUUCGGGGAGGCCUCGAGUCUGCCCUCUGGUGUUUUGCUCUUGACGCUGGGUCGAUUUGGGCCCCUCUCGAGUGCGGCCUCCUGGGAGGGAGCUACGGGACAGGCGGCGGGACUGGGGAGCGAGCGGAGGCGGCAGACACAGGCGCUGGAGCUCGGCCACCAGAGGCACAGCAAGCAUCGGCUUAGAACUUCCCCACAAGCAGUCUACAGACCCGGUCACUGCAGCGUGGAUACCAGAAGCCCUUGGUAAAGAUGAUUUAAGCUGGCCGGGCGUGUUGGCGCACGCCUGUAAUCUCAGCACUUGGGGAGGCUGAAGCAGGAAGAUCACAAGUUCAAGCCCAGCCCGGGCAAUUUAGUGUGAGAUCCUGGAUCAAAAUUAAAACCAGGCUGAGAUAUAGCUCAGUGGCACCGUGCCUGCCUGGAAAACGUCCUGAGUUUGAUCCCCGGUACCACCAAAACAAACAAACAAACUACCCCCCACCCCCAACCCUGGAAUGGAUCUCGGCCUGAAAGCCCUGAGUUCACUCCCCAGUAGAGCAGAGCAAUGAGCUGGGUGUGGUGGCACAUACACAUCUGUAAGACCACUAACCUGGAGGGCUGAGGCAGGAAGAUCGGAAGUUCAAGCCCAGAGUGAUCGAUUUAGGGACCUAGUGAGACCCUGUCAAAAAGAAAAAAAAAAAAUGGAGAGAAUAAUUUGGCCUGGCCAGUAGAUGGCGCCUGAGGCUUAUGAUAAUUUUCAAAACAGGGUUAGAAAUACUUUUGUUACAGCUAAUGAUUGUAAUUUAGCAUAGUAACAACAGCAAUGGCAGAGACCACCAGUUCCUUUCAAGAUGUUUGGCUCAAAAAUAAACAAAUGGAAGAGGGGGUCAGCUCUUAGAACAGCGAGCAGGAAACGCAAGUUGACUUAAAUGCAGAGAAAGAGGGUGACCCAUCAGGAGGUGACGGGAGCAGAAGGGAGGGCAACGAGGAAUCGUUGGAGCAGAGCAGCAAAAAGUCAAAUCAAAUCAAAUCAAAUCAGUCUCUCCAAAGGAUCGGGGACAGGGACAGGAGUGAGUUAGAGAGGGCCAGGGAGUAAAAGUCAAGUCCUUUUUCAGUUCUUACAGCUGCAACCGAAAUGUGAACCAGACACCAUGGGGCUCCGCAGAGAAGGUGGCAGGGAAAGGUCCAGGAAGCAGAUGCAAGGGCUGGAGGUGUGCACAGAUGCAGCCACUGUAGGGCAUGGAGGCAGGGUGGGCUGGUCCUAGAGGUCAGGGAGGACACAGGGCCAGUCCCAGCUGUAGGAGCCAGUGUGCAGAUGGGGACAGCUCUAAAGGAGAGGAAUCCGUAGCCUCAACACAGAGGGUGGAAUCAGCUUCUUCCUGCAUGGCUGAAGGCGCGUGGAUGAGGAAGUAGAUUCCCGGGCCUGCGCUCCUGAUGAAAGGACCCAGAGGAGGCAGGAGGCACAGAGGGCUCAGGGCCCCUAGCAGAGCUGCCCUGGAGGUUCUGUAACCGGAUACAGGGUAGGUUUUUAAACCAUGAUCUUAAAAAAGGAAAUCUUGCCUCUUGGGCCCCUCCGACCACCCUUUGAGUUUCCGUGUGGUCAUCAGCCUGUGGGUGCCCUGAGGAAGGACCCUGCCAUGGGUUACUUGUGUGGUACCUUCGCUCCUUAGUGUC
rnacentral:lncRNA from 1 species